UAGUUACAGCACUCCUAAUACGACAAUCAUUUCACCCAAAUAAUUCACGAUUCAUAAAUACAAAUUAACAACUCAGAGAAAUCUCCAAAUGCAAACAAAAAGAACAAACAAGAAAAGGCCACAAAACGAAAAUCGCUUCGCACCAUAGAAAUUAGAAGCUUCACCAUCAAUGCACACUUUGACAACGACGGCAGUUAUUUAUAAACUUGAAAACCACUGCCAUGGAUUUAAUUUCUUGUAUAACUUGAUAAAAAAUUUGGUGAUAUAUGAAGAAAUGAAUAAUGUAGACAAGGAAGUAUCGGGUUUGAAAUUCAAAAAAAUAAGAAAUAAGAUGCAGGUAGUGAUGGUGUUAACACGCCUUUUCCCCGACCUCAUAAAUGCAUAUUGAAGGCUCCAGAUUUGCUGCAGUGACCUUUUUCAUCGUUACAUAGCUUUUGAGUAAAUAUACUCUCCUUUUUGUUGUUGGGUUGUUGGCAAAUUCAAUGCCUUGUUGCUUCCAUCUCUCUCUCUCUCUCUCUUAUUUAUAUACUCUUGAAGGAUCAUACCCUCCUUCACUACACACCAAUCUUCUUCACAUCACUUAUCUUUUGCUCUCUUAAAGAGUCUCGACGUUGCAAUGUGAAGGGUUGGUAGAGUGGUAUACUAAUGAUACGAGAUAUUGGUGCGGUUCAAUUUGAAAGCCGUGCUCCAUGGGCUUAGAGCUCGGUUAUUUGAUUGAGCCGUGCCAAUAUCACGUAUAUGUACUAUGCUACUGCUUCCUAUCACUCUCCUCCCUUCCAUGCAAUCCCACUCACACCUAACUCAUGCUUAAUCUUUUCUCUGUCUUUGGCAUUUGAAAGAUGCAAAUUUAAGAGAAGAAGAAGAAGAAGAAGAAGAAUGGGUAAGACCAUCACACUGCAUUUACUGAGCACUACCUAAAGGCUUCCUACUUUAUUGACGAAGUGCCUGUGGUAGGUGCAAGAGUGCCUACUUUUUGGCAUCAUCAUUAAUGCCAUUUCUAAGGAGCAAACAACAGUUUCCAAGUUGGGUCACAUUUCAUUCUCUCUCCAAAAUUAAGCAAAUCCUGUUUAAAGUAAGUGUAACCAGCAGCUGCUGGAUGAAAUUUGUAGAUGAUUUAGACGACACUAGUUCUUGUAAUUGAAGAAUGCAACUGAUACA